rnacentral:rRNA from 1 species
AAAAGAGAGCAAGGGCGCAUGGUGGAUGCCUAGGCUCACGGAGGCGACGAAGGGCGUGGUAAGCUGCGAAAAGCCCCGGUAAGGCGCAAACGGCCUUUGACCCGGGGAUCCCCGAAUGGGACAACCCGGCCGCCUGAAGGGCGGUCACCAUGGCGAAUGUCAUGGGGCGAACGCGGGGAACUGAAACAUCUUAGUACCCGCAGGAAGAGAAAACAAAAGUGAUUCCCUUAGUAGUGGCGAGCGAACGGGGAGAAGCCCAAACCGGGCCGGUUUCGGCCGGUCCGGGGUAGUAGGGCCGCGAUAUUGCACGUUGGGAGGCGAGCGGAACCGUCUGGAAAGUCGGGCCGUAGUGGGUGAGAGCCCCGUACGCGAAGUCUCCCGUGGCAUAGCGGCACCCUGAGUAGCGCGGGACACGUGAAAUCCUGCGUGAAUCCGCCGGGACCAUCCGGCAAGGCUAAAUACUCCCGUGAGACCGAUAGUGUACCAGUACCGUGAGGGAAAGGUGAAAAGCACUCCGACGAGGAGGGUGAAAUAGAUCCUGAAACCAUGCGCCUACAAGCGGUCGGAGCAUGAUGAAUCAUGUGACGGCGUGCCUUUUGCAUAAUGAGCCUGCGAGUUGCCGUCACGGGCGAGGUAUGGCGUCUGGAGGCGCCGCGCCGCAGUGAAAGCGAGCCUGAAAAGGGCGUUGAGUCCGUGGAGGCAGACGCGAAACCGAGUGAUCUACACUUGUCCAGGGUGAAGUCCCGGUAACACGGGAUGGAGGCCCGCACCGAUAAGCGUUGAAAAGCUUCCGGAUGAGGUGAGUGUAGGAGUGAAAGGCCAAUCAAACUCGGAGAUAGCUCGUACUCCCCGAAAUGCAUUUAGGUGCAGCGUGCCGUGUUCCGCACGAGAGGUAGAGCGACCGAUAGGACGCGAGGGCUUCACCGCCUAUCAAGUCCUGACGAACUCCGAAUGCUCGUGCGCAGAAGCGGCGCAGUGAGGGGGCGGGUGCUAAGGUCCGUCCCCGAGAGGAGAAGAAUCCGGACCGCCGUCUAAGGUCCCGGAAUCCUGCCUGAGUCAGUCUAACGAAGUGUGACUCCUGAGACAGCCAGGAUGUUGGCUUGGAAGCAGCCAUUCAUUCAAAGAGUGCGUAACAGCUCACUGGUCGAGGGGUCGUGCGUGGAUAAUAAUCGGGUGUAAGGCAGGUACCGAAGGCGCGGGAUAGAAAUACUAAAAGUAUCGGUAGGGGAGCAUUCCAUGUCCGUCGAAUGCGUACGGUGACGUACUCUGGAGGUCAUGGAAAAGCAAAUGCAGGCAUAAGUAACGAUAAGGAGGGUGAGAUUCCCUCCCGCCGGAAGGCCAAGGUUUCCCGGGCAAUGCCAAUCAGCCCGGGGUCAGUCGGGUCCUAAGGCUCAGCCGAGCGGCGAGGUCGAUGGACAAACGGUCAACAUUCCGUUACUGCCAUCAGGAGCGAUGCGGGGACGGAGCAGUGGAACCACCGCGGGGUGACGGAAAUCCCCGUUGAAGGGUGUAGCCGUUGAGGAGUGUAGUGAAGUACGCGUUCCGAGGCGAACCUGACAGUACCGCUUUCCCCUCGGGGAGGGUGGACAGUGUGGGUAAUCAGACUCCCGAGAAAAUCCGCUAAGCGUUAAUCCUGUAGGCACCCGUACCGUAAACGGACACACGUGGCCAAGUAGAAUAUACUGAGGCGUUGGAAGAUUCAUGGUUAAGGAACUAGGCAAACUGACCCCGUAACUUCGGGAGAAGGGGUCCUCGCGUAGCAGCGAGGCGCAGAGAAUAGGUCCAGGCAACUGUUUACCAAAAACACAGGGCUGUGCGAAAUCGAAAGAUGCAGUAUACAGCCUGACACCUGCCCGGUGCCGGAAGGUUAAGAGGAGUCGUCACCCUUCGGGGGAAGCGUCGAAUUGAAGCCCCGGUAAACGGCGGCCGUAACUAUAACGGUCCUAAGGUAGCGAAAUUCCUUGUCGGGUAAGUUCCGACCUGCACGAAUGGUGUAAUGAUCCGGACGCUGUCUCAACCAUGAUUCCAGUGAAAUUGUAGUAUCGGUGAAGAUGCCGAUUACCCGCGAUGGGACGAAAAGACCCCGUGAACCUUUACUGCAGCUUAGCGCUGGCGUUGGUCGUCCGAUGUGUAGGAUAGGCCGGAGGCAAUGAGUGAGGGGCGCCAGCCCUUCAGGAGCCGCCGUUGAAAUACGGCCCUUUGGCCGUCCGGCGCCUAACGCGCGAAUUGUGCGGACACCGCUUGGCGGGCAGUUUGACUGGGGUGGUCGCCUCCAAAAGCGUAACGGAGGCUUCCAAAGGUGCCCUCGGGCCGAUCGGCAACCGGCCUUAUAGAGUGCAAUGGCAUAAGGGCGCUUGACUGGGAGGGAGACAUCCCGAGCAGGCAGGAAACUGGGGCAUAGUGAUCCGGCGGACGUGUAUGGAAACUCCGUCGCUCAAAGGAUAAAAGGUACUCCGGGGAUAACAGGCUGAUCCCCCCCAAGAGCUCACAUCGACGGGGUGGUUUGGCACCUCGAUGUCGGCUCGUCACAUCCUGGGGCUGGAGAAGGUCCCAAG